CCCAGUCUCAUCCCCCAUUCUCCCAGGGCUGCUUAAAGUCUUGAUGGAUAACAAGGGUAGCAACAAAUACAUCUACUCACAUUAGCAUGGGUCAAAUAAAUAAGUCAAAAGGCAACAUAAUUCCAGCUAAAAUGAACCAGUCUCUGUACAUCCCUCUUAGGCUGGAGCUGGGAACACAAUUUCACCUCCUGUGACGGCCCAGUGGGAAAAGGAAACCCCUGAUCUAUAUAGCUUUCUGCAGCCCUCCAGUGAUAUCCUGCAGGAGGCUGGAGUUUCCCAGGAAAAGAACAGCAAAGGAAGUGCGGGAUCUGAUGGGGCCAGGGGACAAACACAUAGAAUGCUGCUUACCAUCUCAGUGGCCUUUCUCUUCCUCCCAUCCGAAACUUCAGACGAGUUUUUUCUGAAAACAUAUAUCAGAUGGCAUCAUCAUGUCAGCAAAAACAGAAUGUAUGCUGUAUGGAAAUUAAAUUCAUUGGCAAAUUUCAAUCUAUCAAUUCACCUGUCAGUGAGCAUCCUGCAUCACUCCCCCACCUGCUCCUUCCUCUAAGUCUGGGAAUGACUAUGGCAAUGAGACUGGAACAGCACAUGUAUUAGAAGUGAAGA
rnacentral:lncRNA from 1 species